GACGAACGCUGGCGGCGUGCCUAAUACAUGCAAGUGGAACGCUGAAGAGAGGAGCUUACUCUUCUUGGAUGAGUUGCGAACGGGUGAGUAACGCGUAGGUAACCUGCCUUGUAGCGGGGGAUAACUAUUGGAAACGAUAGCUAAUACCGCAUAACAAUGGAUGACACAUGUCAUUUAUUUGAAAGGGGCAAUUGCUCCACUACAAGAUGGACCUGCGUUGUAUUAGCUAGUAGGUGAGGAAAUGGCUCACCUAGGCGACGAUACAUAGCCGACCUGAGAGGGUGAUCGGCCACACUGGGACUGAGACACGGCCCAGACUCCUACGGGAGGCAGCAGUAGGGAAUCUUCGGCAAUGGGGGCAACCCUGACCGAGCAACGCCGCGUGAGUGAAGAAGGUUUUCGGAUCGUAAAGCUCUGUUGUAAGUCAAGAACGGGUGUGAGAGUGGAAAGUUCACACUGUGACGGUAGCUUACCAGAAAGGGACGGCUAACUACGUG
rnacentral:rRNA from 1 species